rnacentral:lncRNA from 1 species
ACACAGGGACACGGUGACGUGGGGACAAAGGGCUGUGGUGAGAGUGGACCCCAAACUGGGGGGCAGGGGGUGGGUUUGGACCCCAAAUUGGGGGAAAUGUGAGGAGAAAAUGGCGGGAAAUGUGAGGGGAAAAGGGAGGGAAAUGUGAGGGGAAAAGGGCAGGAAAAUAAAGAGAAAUGUAAGAGAAAAAAAUGGUGGGAAAGGUGAUGGCACAAAAAAAUGGCAAGAAAUGUGAGGAAAAGGGGUGGGAAAUGUGAGGGGAAAAUGGAGAGAAAUGUGAGAGAAAAAGAGUGGGAAAUUUGACAAAAAAAGGAGAGAAAUGUGAGGGGAAAAGGGAGGGAAAUGUGAGGGGAAAAGGGAGGGAAAUGUGAGGGGAAAAGGGAGGGAAAUGUGAGGGGAAAAGGCGGGAAAUGUGAGGGGAAAAGGGAGGGAAAUGUGAGGGGGAAAUGGAGGGAAAUGUGAGGGGAAAUGGAGGGAAAUGUGAGGGGAAAUGGGUGAGAAAUGUGAGGGGAAAUGGAGGGAAAUGUGAGGGGAAAUGGAGGGAAAUGUGAGGGGAAAAGGGAGGGAAAUGUGAGGGAAAGGGGCGGGAAAUGUGAGGAAAAAAGUAUGGGAAAUGUGAGGGGAAAAGGGAGGGAAAUGUGAGGGGAAAAUAGAGGGAAAUGUGAGAGGAAAAGGGAGGGAAAUGUGAGGGGAAAAUAGAGGAAAAGGUGAGAGAAAAAAAUGGCGGGAAAAAAAUGGCAGAAAAUGUGAGGGCACA